rnacentral:rRNA from 1 species
AUUGAACGCUGGCGGCAGGCCUAACACAUGCAAGUCGAGCGCGAAAGUCUUCGGAUGAGUAAAGCGGCGAACGGGUGAGUAAUGCAUGGGAAUCUGCCUGGUGGUGGGGGACAACGUCUCGAAAGGGACGCUAAUACCGCAUACGCCCUACGGGGAAAGGGGGGGAUCUUCGGACCUCUCGCUAUCAGAUGAGCCCAUGUCAGAUUAGCUAGUUGGUGAGGUAAAGGCUCACCAAGGCGACGAUCUGUAACUGGUCUGAGAGGAUGAUCAGUCACACUGGAACUGAGACACGGUCCAGACUCCUACGGGAGGCAGCAGUGGGAAUAUUGGACAAUGGGGGCAACCCUGAUCCAGCCAUGCCGCGUGUGUGAAGAAGGCCCUAGGGUUGUAAAGCACUUUCAGUGGGAGAAAGGUUAUUCACCUAAUACGUGAGUAGAUUGAUGUUACCCACAGAAGAAGCACCGGCUAAACUCC